rnacentral:rRNA from 1 species
AGUAACACGUGAGUAACCUGCCCUUAACUCUGGGAUAAGCCUGGGAAACUGGGUCUAAUACCGGAUAUGACUCCUCAUCGCAUGGUGGGGGGUGGAAAGCUUUAUUGUGGUUUUGGAUGGACUCGCGGCCUAUCAGCUUGUUGGUGAGGUAAUGGCUCACCAAGGCGACGACGGGUAGCCGGCCUGAGAGGGUGACCGGCCACACUGGGACUGAGACACGGCCCAGACUCCUACGGGAGGCAGCAGUGGGGAAUAUUGCACAAUGGGCGAAAGCCUGAUGCAGCGACGCCGCGUGAGGGAUGACGGCCUUCGGGUUGUAAACCUCUUUCAGUAGGGAAGAAGCGAAAGUGACGGUACCUGCAGAAGAAGCGCCGGCUAACUACGUGCCAGCAGCCGCGGUAAUACGUAGGGCGCAAGCGUUAUCCGGAAUUAUUGGGCGUAAAGAGCUCGUAGGCGGUUUGUCGCGUCUGCCGUGAAAGUCCGGGGCUCAACUCCGGAUCUGCGGUGGGUACGGGCAGACUAGAGUGAUGUAGGGGAGACUGGAAUUCCUGGUGUAGCGGUGAAAUGCGCAGAUAUCAGGAGGAACACCGAUGGCGAAGGCAGGUCUCUGGGCAUUAACUGACGCUGAGGAGCGAAAGCAUGGGGAGCGAACAGGAUUAGAUACCCUGGUAGUCCAUGCCGUAAACGUUGGGCACUAGGUGUGGGGGACAUUCCACGUUUUCCGCGCCGUAGCUAACGCAUUAAGUGCCCCGCCUGGGGAGUACGGCCGCAAGGCUAAAACUCAAAGGAAUUGACGGGGGCCCGCACAAGCGGCGGAGCAUGCGGAUUAAUUCGAUGCAACGCGAAGAACCUUACCAAGGCUUGACAUGAACCGGAAACACCUGGAAACAGGUGCCCCGCUUGCGGUCGGUUUACAGGUGGUGCAUGGUUGUCGUCAGCUCGUGUCGUGAGAUGUUGGGUUAAGUCCCGCAACGAGCGCAACCCUCGUUCUAUGUUGCCAGCGCGUUAUGGCGGGGACUCAUAGGAGACUGCCGGGGUCAACUCGGAGGAAGGUGGGGACGACGUCAAAUCAUCAUGCCCCUUAUGUCUUGGGCUUCACGCAUGCUACAAUGGCCGGUACAAAGGGUUGCGAUACUGUGAGGUGGAGCUAAUCCCAAAAAGCCGGUCUCAGUUCGGAUUGGGGUCUGCAACUCGACCCCAUGAAGUCGGAGUCGCUAGUAAUCGCAGAUCAGCAACGCUGCGGUGAAUACGUUCCCGGGCCUUGUACACACCGCCCGUCAAGUCA